rnacentral:rRNA from 1 species
CAGAACCUGGUUGAUCCUGCCAGUAGUCAUAUGCUUGUCUUAAAGACUAAGCCAUGCAUGUCUAAGUAUAAAUAGUAUACAGUGAAACUGCGAAUGGCUCAUUAAAACAGUUAUAAUUUAUUUGAUGGUCGCUUACUACAUGGAUAACUGUGGUAAUUCUAGAGCUAAUACAUGCACAAAAACCCGACUUCGCAG